CCUUUGACGUUAGCGGCGGACGGGUGAGUAACACGUGGGUAACCUACCUAUAAGACUGGGAUAACUUCGGGAAACCGGAGCUAAUACCGGAUAAUAUUUCGAACCGCAUGGUUCGAUAGUGAAAGAUGGUUUUGCUAUCACUUAUAGAUGGACCUGCGCCGUAUUAGCUAGUUGGUAAGGUAACGGCUUACCAGGGCGACGAUACGUAGCCGACCUGAGAGGGUGAUCGGCCACACUGGAACUGAGACACGGUCCAGACUCCUACGGGAGGCAGCAGUU
rnacentral:rRNA from 1 species